AGAUCAUGCUGAGGACAAUUUCUUAAUAACCUUUUGUAGUGCUCCCAAGCCUCGUAUAGUGACUCCCCCGUUUGUUGCUCAAAAUUAGUUAUCACCUUCUUGAGUUU